UAUACACUGUAAAUAUGCGGCUGCGUCACAAUUUGAGCGGAAGUCCCAGUGACAAGAUUGAACAAUAGCAGCUGCUGCAAGAUUCGCAAAUCUAUUAGCAUAAAACAGAUAAAAGUAAACUUUUGUUGACGAUGUUGUCAACAAGCAGCAGAAGCAGCAGAAACAGCAGCAACGACAACAAACAACAACAAUCAGCAAACAAAUGACAAUAACGACUGCAAAUUGCACGGCUUUUGCUUUUGGGAAUGCCACAAGGAGGAGGAAAAUACAAAAAUGUUGUGUGUGGUUUAACAAAGUUGGGCUUAUCAUGCGUAUAAAUUGAAUUGCUACUGCAGAGAUGAGAAAGCGAGAAUGUCUGCUUCAUUAUUUGCACUUUGCGUAAUUACAUUUUGAAUAACCCGACUUUAAAAAGGGAAACAAAAAAGACAACUACAACGAAAUACCAUUUGUUUUCGGUUUAGCUUGCAUUCAGCGACAAAACGCCCAUUCAGCAACUCGACACUGACUGAUAAAUGGAGUAUUCGAGUUUUUAAAGACGAUGAAAUUGCUGUGGACAGCGGCAAAAUUUCUUCUCAAAGAUCAAUAAGUGCAUUAAAACCUUAUUACGCUUGCACUUUUUCAAGAUACAAAAUGAAUGCAAUUAUCAGUCAGGAUUAUCAGCAGAAUAAUGACUUCGAGUUGCCAACUUUAAAUUGCGUAUACGCACAGUGUGGCACCCAUGGAAACGUCUUGUCUAACAGUCGACAGAGCUGACCACACUUGCUGCAUUGUUCUGCGAAAAUCAAGACGUUGCAAUUGUUUGUUCCCGGAAGUUAGUUAGAACUUCGUGCAACAGUAGAUGAGAACCACACGUGACUUGGCCAAAACUUUGGCGAAUAUCUUACAAGACUAACUUGCAGCUGGCAACUGACAAGCUGCCCACGAGAAAGUUUCAAGCAGCAUACUUUAGUUCAUUUUGAAGAAAGAGAUUUUUCUCAUAUGUUAUCAAAAAAUGAAGGAAACUAACAAAAAUCAGGUCAUGAAAAGGAAAGUGUGCAAAAGAGAAAACAAAUGAAAGAUUGCUAUAACCUAAAUGCCAUACUUAAUCCAAGGACAAGCACAACAGUUUAAUGAUAUACAAACAAACCACCAAACGCACACAAUUUGAGAUACUGCAGAUAGCGACAUACUUAAUUGUGUUACCAGUAAAGUCUGCAGGAAGUCAAGCUCUUGUGUUGAGCCUUCCUUCAGCCGAGAAUGCCAUCGCAGACCAAUCCAAUUAAAUUAGCGUUAAUCUCAGGAUUUGUAAGCAUUAAAUUAAUUAUCUUUCAACUUGACUCUGGUGGUUUUUUGACAACUAUUGGUUCAAUCCCAUUCAGUUUAAGAUUGUGUUAAUCAUAAAAUAUUUAUUAAAGUAAAUUG